CUUAGGAGUGUUUCAAUGGAGACAGAGAUAGAGAAGCCAGCUGGGCAAGAUUUAGGAGGACUCCUUCAGAAGGGCCGCUGGACUAGUUUGAGUUACAGGUUAUGAAGGCUCUCUCAUGCAUCCAGUGAUUGGCUGGCAGUGCUCAAAGCAGUGGUCAUGGGACAUGAACUUGAAUAGAUAUGGAUCGCUUUGCUCAUUAUUUUCCUUCUUAGAUCACAUCCAGCGUUCUAUGUGGAUCACGAGCUGCUGAUAAAGAUGAACUAGCAUGCAUUAAAGAAAUCAUUUCCUACCAACA